UACACAUAAGAGGCUGUCCAAGCCAGGAUGAA
rnacentral:piRNA from 1 species